rnacentral:rRNA from 1 species
UGAACGCUGGCGGCAGGCCUAACACAUGCAAGUCGAGCGGCAGCGGGAUCUAGCUUGCUAAAUUGCCGGCGAGCGGCGGACGGGUGAGUAACGCGUAGGAAUCUACCGGAUAGUGGGGGACAACCAGUGGAAACGCUGGCUAAUACCGCAUACGCCCUACGGGGGAAAGCAGGGGAUCUUAGGACCUUGCGCUAUUCGAUGAGCCUGCGUGAGAUUAGCUUGUUGGUGAGGUAAAGGCUCACCAAGGCGACGAUCUCUANCUGGUCUGAGAGGAUGAUCAGCCACACUGGGACUGAGACACGGCCCAGACUCCUACGGGAGGCAGCAGUGGGGAAUAUUGCACAAUGGGCGCAAGCCUGAUGCAGCCAUGCCGCGUGUGUGAAGAAGGCCUUCGGGUUGUAAAGCACUUUCAGCAGUGAGGAAAGGUUAGUAGUUAAUACCUGCUAGCUGUGACGUUUACUGCAGAAGAAGCACCGG